AGGGAGUUAGCUCAAACGGUCAGAGCAUGCUGGUGGAAAACAGCAGAUGUAGGUUCGAUUCCUGCACUCCCAA
rnacentral:tRNA from 1 species